GUGAAUCAUCAAAUCUUUGAACGCAAAUUGCACUCCCUGGUAUUCCGGGGAGUAUGCCUGUUUGAGGGUCGGUAUUACAAAAAUCUAGGCGUCGCUCUUUUUUUUAAGGGUUAUGGCGUCGGAGUUGAUCCUUCUUUUAAAGGUUAAUUCAUGUAAAAUUGGCCUGAAAUUCACCUUUCUGGUAGUAUUAAAGU
rnacentral:misc_RNA from 1 species